UACGUAGGGGCGAGCGUUGUCCGGAUUUAUUGGGCGUAAAGAGCUCGUAGGCGGUUCGGUAAGUCAGAUGUAAAAACUCCAGGCUCAACUUGGAGAGGCCAUCUGAUACUGCCGUGACUAGAGUCCGGUAGAGGAGCACGGAAUUCCUGGUGUAGCGGUGAAAUGCGCAGAUAUCAGGAAGAACACCCGUGGCGAAGGCGGCUCUCUGGGACGUGACUGACGCUGAGACGCGAAAGCGUGGGGAGCAAACAGG
rnacentral:rRNA from 1 species